rnacentral:rRNA from 1 species
CUGAUCAGCCAUGCCGCGUGAGUGACGAAGGUCUUCGGAUUGUAAGCUCUUUUGGCGGGGACGAUAAUGACGGUACCCGCAGAAUAAGCCCCGGCUAACUUCGUGCCAGCAGCCGCGGUAAUACG